UUUUUUUUCUCCCAUUUUCCCUUCCUUAUUCGUUCUUUUUUUUGAGCCCUUUCUUUAUUAUCCAUUCUCCGCACCGGCUACGGGCUACCCAGCGAAGCGUCUCUGCUGUCUGCUCUGUGCCCCUGUCCGACUGCCCCCCGCCGUUUUCCUUCCUCCGUCCUUGCGUUGCUGCUUCCGCGCGCCGCUCGCCAGGCCGGCAGCCCGAGCGCUGCCUCUGCUGUGCCACAGCUGCCGCCUUCCCAGCUCCGCGACCAGCUCUGCCAGUGCUCCGGCAUCGAAGCUGUUUUGCUUUUCGGCGUUUGGCAGGCCACCGGCUUCUGCAGGAGCCCUGCCAAAGGGCGCAAAGCUAAUAACACAGCCAGCUGCGGGCUGUAUACAAGUGCCAUGUCACUUAAAGCCUUCAUUAACAAACACUCGUAUAAGCUGGCUAAUAGGUUUGUGUAUUGAAGAUUUAAGUAUUUAAUGUUUGCCCAUGCAUAUCAUCACUGUGGCUAUAUCUCUGUAGACAUUUCAUUGAACAAAGUACAGAUAUGCUCAUGAAUGUUCAGCUACUACUCAGGUGCGUCAGAUCGGAGAUAUAUCAUGCUAUGAGUAAAGAUAUAUUCACAUGAUCAUGAUCCCAUCAUAGCACAAUCUUGCUUGACAGAUCAAAGUUCAGUUCAGAGAAUGCAUCAGAUAUUCAGAUUGGAUAGCACGGUCCUGAAACAGAAUAGCACACAAACAAGCAGAUUUCAGUACAGAAGCAGGAUAAAAUUGGGGUGGCCCAGGCGCCCAGCGGAGGCCAUUCGAAGCCGGCGCCGAUGAAGUCGCUGGAGAGCAGCGACCUUUUCGUUGUCCAUUGCACCUCCGGCCCGAAGGCUCCUUCCUCUCCUCCCCGCCGGCCUCUCCUCUAAUGCCUCAAUGGCGACCAAGCGCCCCAGAUUCCGGCGGGAUUGGGACUGCGGAGCCAUCUCGCUGGGCCGGGGGCGCCGAUGGCGGGUCUGGCGGCAAGGGUUCGGAGGUGGCGAUUGGGGACGAUUUGGGCAUGAAAUUGGGGGCUUUUUGCUUCAGUUUUAUGUGCGUGGAGUCGAUUUGAGCGAAGGCGAUAAGCGCGUGAGGAAGGUGUGGUGGAGCACGGGAUCGCGAGGAGGAAGAAGCGCCUGUUCGUCGCUCGCAGCGGGUAAAAGCGAGCGUUAUCUUCUCGUAUCUUACGCUUCAGCCGGGCGACUCCUCAGGCUG
rnacentral:lncRNA from 1 species